rnacentral:rRNA from 1 species
UACGAAGGGGGCUAGCGUUGCUCGGAAUUACUGGGCGUAAAGCGCGCGCAGGCGGUCUGCUAAGUUUGGAGUGACAGUUGGUGGCUUAACUGCCAAAGUGCUUCGAAAACUGACAGACUUGAGGGCUUCAGAGGGACACGGAAUUCCGGGUGGAGUGGUGAAAUGCGUAGAGAUCCGGAGGAACACCAAAGGCGAAGGCAGUGUCCUGGGGAGUACCUGACGCUCAGGUGCGAAAGCCAGGGGAGCGAACGGG